rnacentral:tRNA from 1 species
UUAAUUGAAGCCAAAAAGAGGCUUACCACUGUUAAUGGUAGAACUGAAAUUAAUUUCCAAUUAAA